rnacentral:rRNA from 1 species
UAGUCCAUGCAGUAAACGAUGGGUGCUAGUCGUCGGACUUUUGUUCGGUGUCGUAGCUAACGCGUUAAGCACCCCGCCUGGGGAGUACGGUCGCAAGAUUAAAACUCAAAUAAAUUGACGGGGACCCGCACAAGCAGUGGAGCAUGUGGUUUAAUUCGACGCAACGCGAAGAACCUUACCAGCGUUUGACAUGGGAAGUGCCGGUUACAGAAUGGUAACCUUCAGUUCGGCUGGCUUCCACACAGGUGCUGCAUGGCUGUCGUCAGCUCGUGUCGUGAGAUGUUGGGUUAAGUCCCGCAACGAGCGCAACCCUUAUCGUUAGUUACUAACAGUUCGGCUGAGGACUCUAGCGAAACUGCCGGUGAUAAGCCGGAGGAAGGUGGGGAUGACGUCAAGUCCUCAUGGGCCCUUACACGCUGGGGCUACACACGUGCUACAAUGGGUAACUACAACGGGGACGCAAUACCGCGAGGUGGAGCAAAU